rnacentral:lncRNA from 1 species
CUCAGGUCGCCCCCGAAGCUGUGCGCUAGGUAAGUCAGAGCAGGCACCUGCUUACCUUAAUGGCAGGUGCCUGCUUUCCCAACAAAUCCCAGUGGGCGGAGAAGGCAAGCGAUGAGGGAGGCUGUUCUUGCAGUCUCUCACUCCUCUCUUGCGCGCCCUCUGUGAUGCCGGGAGCCGGAAUAUGACGUCUUUCCGGCCCCGGCAUACUAAACAGCGCACUGGAGGAGUGAGGAGAUGCCCCACACUGGACUUCAGGGAAGUGAGUAUUUGAGUAUUUGGCUGUAAGUGAGAGUGUGUGUGAGUGUCUGUCUGCCUGUGUGUGUGUGUGUGUGUGUGUGUGAGUGUUUGACUGUCAGUGUGUGUGUCUGCCUGUGUGUGAGUAUGUAUGUCAGUGAGUGUUUGUGAGUGUAUGUCUGAUAGUGAGAGUGAGUGUGUGUGUGUCGGUCAGUGAGUGUGUGAAUGUCUGUCUGUCAGUGAUUGUGUGUUUGUCUGUCAGUGAGUGAAUGUGUGUCUGCCUGUGAAUAAAUGUGUCUGCCAGUGUGUGUCUGUCAGUGAGUGAGUGAAUGUCUGUCUGUCUGUGAUUGUGUGUUUGUCUGUCAGUGAGUGAAUGUGUGUCUGCCUGUGAGUAAAUGUGUCUGCCAGUGUGUGUCUGUCAGUGAGUAAGUGACAUGAGGAGGGCGACAAAAUGGAUCUUUGCCUGGGGAGGCAGAAAUCCUUGAACCAGCCCUGCAUAUAGAUUACUGUGGCCAUAAAAAGCCAGAACACUUAUAUGGUAUAGUCUCCUCUCCACAGUCACUCCAUGUCUGAUGAAAUGUGUCCAACCCAGUGCUUCUAAUACAGAAGCAUUAGGGACAUGUGCAGCAAUUGCCACGCUCUAUCAUUCCACUGCGUUUUAAAGAUAAGCUAUGAGAAGCACUAGUUGCAUUUGGUUCCAUCUUGUGGCGUGUGAUGGUAUUGAACGUGAAGAUCAUAAAAAAUGAAAAUAAACGCCUGACAGCCACUAGAGUUGUGGUUUACGCAAAAUGCAUUGUAGUUUCUCAGAAAUGGCAAUAUUUUACAUUGUCAUAGAAAAGGGACAGGGUCUCUGAAUCAAAACUACUUACCGUAUAUACUCGAGUAUAAGUCGACCCGAAUAUAAGUCGAGACCUCUAAUUUUACCCCAAAAAACUGGGAAAACUUAUUGACUCGAGACUGGGGUGGGAAAUGCAGCAGCUACUGGUAAAUUUCUAAAUAAAAUUAUAUCCCCCAAAAAUUAUAUUAAUUGAAUAUUUAUUUACAGUGUGUGUAUAUAAUGAAUGCAGUGUGUGUGUGUGUAUAUAAUGCAAUGUGUUUGUAUGAAUGCGGUGUGUGUGUGUGUGUAUGAGUGCAGUGUGUGUGUCUAUGAAUGCAGUGUGUGUAUGAGUGCAGUGUGUGUGUGUGUAUAUGAGUGCAGUGUGUGUGUGAUGCAGAGCCUUGGUGGGGGGUGGGCAUUUUUAUAAAUUUUUUAAAAAUUAUUAUUUUAAUAUUAAAUUAAUUUUUUUUAUAUAUUAUUAUUUUAUUAUUAUUUAAAUCUUUAUUUAUAUUUAUUUUUGUCCCCCCUCCCUGCUUGUUAGCUGGCCAGGGAGGGGGGCUUUCAUUCCCUGGUGGUCCAGUGGGGUACACUGUGUAGGAGGGGGGCUGGCAGCGAGCUGUAACUUACCUUUCCUGCAGCUCCUGUCAGCUCCCCUGUAAGUCUCGUGGUGUGAGUGCCGCGCGGAGCGUUGCCACGGUAACCCAUGGCAACGCUCUGACCCCGCAGCUCUCGCAAAACUUGCAGGGGAGCUGACCGGACCGGAGGAGAGAGAAGGGAGCUGACAGGAGCUGCAGGAAAGGUAAGAAAACACUUCCUGCCAGCCUCCAACAGGACCGCCGGGCUUGUAAUGAGCCCAGCGGUCCUUGUCUGUAUUAUGGCAAUGUACGUUGCCAUAAUACAGACAGUGACUCGAGUAUAAGACGAGUGGGGGUUUUUUAGCACAAAAAAUUUGCUGAAAAACUCGUCUUAUACUCGAGUAUAUACGGUAAUUAAAACAAAGUGGUUUUAAUGCUUAGUGUCCCUUUUAAGCUAAGCAUACGUUUUGCAUACUAUAAAACAUUAAAAUUGGUUAAAACUGCAAAUUAUUCACCCCGUGACUUCAUUUUAUGUAGAAAGCAAAAUGUAGAAAGUCCUUGCACUCACGCUUAGUAGACUGUUUGCCGGGUGCUUCAAAUCCAGGAAAAUUCUAAUAUAUAUAUAGAUAGUGAUCAGCACUCACGGACUUGUGAAGAUUAAAACAUACAGUUUAUUGAUAAUCCAUUAAAAAUAAGAUCGACGUUUCAG